rnacentral:rRNA from 1 species
GUAGGUGGCAAGCGUUGUCCGGAAUUAUUGGGCGUAAAGCGCGCGCAGGCGGUCCUUUAAGUCUGAUGUGAAAGCCCACGGCUCAACCGUGGAGGGUCAUUGGAAACUGGGGGACUUGAGUACAGAAGAGGAAAGCGGAAUUCCAAGUGUAGCGGUGAAAUGCCUAGAGAUUUGGAGGAACACCAGUGGCGAAGGCGGCUUUCUGGUCUGUAACUGACGCUGAGGCGCGAAAGCGUGGGGAGCAAACAGGAUUAGAUACCCUGGUAGUCCACGCCGUAAACGAUGAGUGCUAAGUGUUAGGGGGUUUCCCGCCCCCUUAGUGCUGCAGCUAACGCAUUAAGCACUCCGCCUGGGGGAGUACGGCCCGCAAGGCUG